GCGAUUGUUUUAUUAGCAUCAAAAUUACUUUCAAGAGUAAUAAAAAGAACUAAAAUCAAGCAAAAACUUUAAAUAAUGUAAUCAUUACAUGGUACAAAUAAAUAAUUGUUUCAAAUUGGGUCCUCAACAAUGAUGUUACAAAGCAAAGUAAAAGAACAAGUAGACAUAGACAUCUUCACAUGCGUGGUGUUCUCAAAAUCAAUGAACAUAAAGAUGAGGACCACUUUUGUAAUUGUAACACGGUACUUCAAUGAUCAUUCUCUGAUUCUCAUAAAUACAUGUCAUCCUCUCCUGAAUACAUAUAGAUAUAUUACAUAUAUCGUAUAACGUACCUCUCAUAAAGACAAUCUUUUUACUUUAUCAAAGAAAAAUAAAUGAACUUCGAUCUCAUAAAAAACAAACCAUGUAAAAUGAUUGCUUCAUAUGGAUUAUGGUCCUUAGGAUUUGUUAUCAUGAAAAAGAAGACUGUUAGAAAAGAGGAUGAAUAUCAAGGAAUGUGAGAUAUACCUCUUAUGCUAUUGAUAUAUCUUUUUCAGGUUGGGGAAUUGCCUUGCACACCGCAAUGGCGGUCCCCCUUGACUGGCCAGGAGGACUAACGUCAGAGACUCUGUCCCUUAGACCCUAGCACUUCCUUUUAAAAGUCACUUGGGGCGACGCCCAUUAGAACCCCCACUGAGGGCAACGCCCCGGAUCUCCAUGUUAUUCAGAUCAAAUCAGCUUAUGAGAAUGUAUCCUGUGCACCUUCCGAUCUUGCAAUAUAACAAAAACUAAACUCAAUAAUUUUCAAAUUAAUAUUGAUAACUCCAAAACCACCUACACAUGAAAUCUGAGUGUUGUGUACUUUGGAGGUCCUACACCUUCCGUAUUUUUCAAUAAUUUUACUACUUGGGUAUUCUUCAAUAAUUUUAGUGGUUU
rnacentral:lncRNA from 1 species